ACUACGGGUGGCAGCAGUGAGGAAUAUUGGUCAAUGACCGGAAGGCUGAACCAGCCAUGCCGCGUGAAGGUCAGUGCCCUAUGGGCGUUAAACUUCUUUUGUGCGGGAGCAAUAAUGGUCACGUGUGGCCAGACGAGAGUACCGUACGAAUAAGCAUCGGCUAACUCCGUGCCAGCAGCCGCGGUAAUACGGGGGAUGCAAGCGUUAUCCGGCUUAAUUGGGUUUAAAGGGUGCGUAGGCUGUGAGGUAAGUCAGCGGUGAAAUGCCCCCGCUCAACGGGGUGAAGUGCCAUUGAUACUGCCUUGCUGGAAUGCGGAUGCCGUGGGAGGAAGGUGUGGUGUAGCGGUGAAAUGCAUAGAUAUCACACAGAACACCGAUUGCGAAGGCAUCUCACGAAUCCGCGAUUGACGCUGAUGCACGAAAGCGUGGGUAUCAAACAGGAUUAGAUACCCCGGUAGUC
rnacentral:rRNA from 1 species